GCAUCAAAGUGACGGUCAGUGAGAGUCUUGAGCAACAUUCUGCGGAAGGAGCCUCUGCAAGUGAAAACAAGAAAGAGGAGCUGAAUGAAAUCUUGCACAUUUUAGAGUGCGAGUGCUUCAUUUCUUGUGAUGGCCAAACCCGUGGCCACACUACUAUGUCGAGUUGCUGAAACACAGCCCUCCUUUGUCAUGAUGUCAGCUGGUGUAAACAAGGUCAGGAAAUGCAAUCCUAAAUGAAGAACCAGCUCCUCCUCUGCGUGCACCCACAACUCCGCCCUCAUGUGACUCCAGCCAAUCCCGUCUCAUUCCGCUCCUACACAGCAAGAAAAAAGCACAUCCAGAGGGCGGAAAGUCGGCGCAAGCGGUAUAAGAGCGGGAUAAGCAUGGAUUGUUUUUCUAUCAACGUGUCGACUCUUCACUCCCUGACCAGAGACAGUGGAUCCAUGUCCAAAAUGUGGCGUGGAUUCGACAGAGAGCAAGGGAGAGUGGGGAGAAAACCCCAUUAACACCGGACGCGCGUGCGCACACACACACACACACACACACACACACACACACACACGCACGCACAGAAACAGCACUGCAGCUCAGCUCAGGUCGGGGCAGAAACCUUAACUGCUGCCUGCAGAGAAGAGCGCUGUCCCUCCGCUGUGGUGCUGAACGUUGCGACGCAGGACUGAGAUCCAAAGGGAGACAAGAGGUUUUAGAAGAGCCGCAGAAAACUUUAUGUGUAUGGAUUUAGAAGAAACAAGCUGAGCAGAAGUGAUGGCCAGACCCCCCUCCAGUCCGACAGGCUUCAGUCCGGCGGUGUGAGCACAGCGGCGGAACCCAGCGGAGGACAGGGACGGAGGCUUUCCAUCUGUGAGGUAAGCUCUGCGUCUCUUUACACGUGGAUGAUUGCGGGAAGAAAUGUAAUAGAUUACGCUUCUAAAGGGGGGUCUACAUGCAGCAGCGAGAAUGGGCUGCAUCAGCUCCAAAGCGCCUGUUGGUAAGAAGUGCUUUAACUUGCUCUCCUAGAAUAAAUAAA